rnacentral:rRNA from 1 species
UACGUAGGGGGCAAGCGUUGUCCGGAUUUAUUGGGCGUAAAGAGCGUGUAGGCGGCCAUGUAGGUCCGUUGUGAAAACUCGAGGCUCAACCUCGAGACGCCGAUGGAAACCAUGUGGCUAGAGUCCGGAAGAGGAGAGUGGAAUUCCCGGUGUAGCGGUGAAAUGCGCAGAUAUCAGGAGGAACACCAAUGGCGAAGGCAGCUCGCUGGGACGGUACUGACGCUGAGGCGCGAAAGCGUGGGGAGCAAACAGG